rnacentral:rRNA from 1 species
AUUGAACGCUGGCGGCAUGCCUUACACAUGCAAGUCGAACGGUAACAGGUCUUCGGAUGCUGACGAGUGGCGAACGGGUGAGUAAUACAUCGGAGCGUGCCUAGUAGUGGGGGAUAACUACUCGAAAGAGUGGCUAAUACCGCAUGAGAUCUACGGAUGAAAGCAGGGGAUCGCAAGACCUUGUGCUACUAGAGCGGCCGAUGGCAGAUUAGGUAGUUGGUGGGAUAAAUGCUUACCAAGCCGACGAUCUGUAGCUGGUCUGAGAGGACGGUCAGCCACACUGGGACUGAGACACGGCCCAGACUCCUACGGGAGGCAGCAGUGGGGAAUUUUGGACAAUGGGCGCAAGCCUGAUCCAGCAAUGCCGCGUGCAGGAUGAAGGCCUUCGGGUUGUAAACUGCUUUUGUACGGAACGAAAAGCCCUGGGUUAAUACCCUGGGGUCAUGACGGUACCGUAAGAAUAAGCACCGGCUAACUACGUGCCAGCCGCCGCCGUAA